UUGCUUUUGGGAGAAAUAUCCCUGGUUUAAUUUAUUUUCUGGGUGUGCUACUGAACACCAAGUCUUUAUUUUUUUUGGAGCAGAAAAAAUGUACGCUCCUGCAAUCCUUUCCCUGAAUGCAAAAUUUACUGGAAGUUCACAUGAUGCAUAUGUCAUUAGACAAUCAGGGAUAUGGCAGAGAUUAAGAUCAAGUCAACGAGCAGACAUGUGGUUAUUGGGAGACCGUGGAUAUCCUUGCACCCCCUGGCUCAUGACUCCUUACCGUAAUCCCAGGCCAGGACCACAGAUGGCAUUUAACUCCGCGCUUACUGCCACUAGGCAGCUGGUGGAGCGCACAAUUGGUGUCCUUAAAGGGCGGUUUCGUGUGCUCCACCGCACUGGUGGCGACAUCAUGUAUUCGCCGGAGAUGGCAAGUAAAAUAGUGGUCCUGUGCGCAAUACUACAUAAUAUCGCGGUAAGGAGUAGUGUAGAGCUUCCUCAGGCAGAGGAAUUGCCUGAUGAGGAGCCAGGGGUUGGUCGACGCUUCGGUGGGUGGAGUGUGACACGGAGGGGGAGCCAAGUGAGGGCAAGAAUUGUUGCCGAAUAUUUCAGGUAUAGUGUUUUUAUAUUUUCUAUUUGAACAAAUAAUACAACACAGUAUGCUUAUGUUUUUUAAACAAUGAUGUCAUUUUGUAUGAUAUUGUAAAGUGAUUGGGUAAGGCUUUUGUUGUGUUGGAAUGGGUAAUUGUUUUUUUCUACAAAAUCCAAAAACACGUUAAGCUUACAAUGUUUAGUUAGAAAUUAAAAGACUGUAAUGUUGCUAAAUAGUGUCCUUAUUUGUUUUAUAUCCUCAAAUCCUGAUUAUGUAACCAAACACACAAACAAAUGAUACUCAAUGUUUCACACUUUGUGACUGUCCAGCUGAAU